CAAAUACAAUAUUGAGAUUUUCCUCACAUAACGAGUCAAAAAGUAGGGCGUUAAGGUUAAAAGAAGGGACGAGGUAAUAUUUGUCUCCAAAGGAUAUUAAACAACAUAUUAACUGUGAAAUUAGAAAGGCACGCGUGAAUAUAAUCAGUUAGUCACUGAGAUGGGGUACCAAACCAUUGCAUGGAUUGUGGUUGUCACCGCCGCCACCGUAUAUUUCCUCAACAUACCACCACCGCCACUUUCAUCGACGCUGCUCAACUGGCAAAAGAAAGGCAAUAUCUUCAAAUAUAAGGAAUUUGAUAUAUUUUAUAUAGUUGAGGAAGGAGUACCAAGCGAUGGAAGCACCCUUGUGUUGAUCCAUUGAUUUCCCACCUCCAGCCAUGAUUGGAGCAAGAUUCUUGGUCGCAUGAAAUCGCAGUUCAGCAAAAUCAUUAUGCUGGAUAUGUUAGGAUAUGGAUUCUCAGACAAACCGCUCGACCACGACUACCUGAUUACGGAACAGGCGGACAUUCACGAGGCUCUGCUGACGUCACUUUCUAUAUCACGCGCACACGUGAUGUCUCAUGACUAUGGUGACACCGUGGCCUUGGAAUUGCU